rnacentral:rRNA from 1 species
GAUGAACGCUGGCGGCGUGCCUAAUACAUGCCAGUCGAGCGAACAGACGAGGAGCUUGCUCCUCUGACGUUAGCGGCGGACGGGUGAGUAACACGUGGAUAACCUACCUAUAAGACUGGGAUAACUUCGGGAAACCGGAGCUAAUACCGGAUAAUAUAUUGAACCGCAUGGUUCAAUAGUGAAAGACGGUUUUGCUGUCACUUAUAGAUGGAUCCGCGCCGCAUUAGCUAGUUGGUAAGGUAACGGCUCACCAAGGCAACGAUGCGUAGCCGACCUGAGAGGGUGAUCGGCCACACUGGAACUGAGACACGGUCCAGACUCCUACGGGAGGCAGCAGUAGGGAAUCUUCCGCAAUGGGCGAAAGCUUGACGGAGCAACGCCGCGUGAGUGAUGAAGGUCUUCGGAUCGUAAAACUCUGUUAUUAGGGAAGAACAAAUGUGUAAGUAACUAUGCACGUCUUGACGGUACCUAAUCAGAAAGCCACGGCUAACUACGUG